AUGGAAACGAAAAGGGGUGCCACGGCAAUGAAUCUGAAAAUGAUGCCACAGCGACAUAUCGGUUCCGGAAGCUCAUGGAGAUACCGGUGCAAAAGGAAAAGAGACAAGAGCGUGACAUGCAAGGACGAUGGGGUGAUCCCAUAUACCGGGUGUUCCACGAGUUGGAGACAAGGAAACGAGUGCCAAAUUGGACACGGUGCAAACACGAGCAUCUCAAACAUCGCAAGCAUUCGUUCACGGACGUCGUCUCGAGGUUAUACCUUUGAAGCGUGCAAGCGGGACAGUUUUCGUUCAGUGCAAAGUAGAGGAAGUAGACGUUCUCGUGAUGGCGGUUGUGGUUCUCGCGAUCUCGGCGACGGUAGUGGUACACGGGUCUUCGGCCAUGGAAGUAGUCGUACGACGUUUUCGUAG
rnacentral:rRNA from 1 species